UCCUCUGAUGAUGCUGUUUUGUUGUUGGUGGUGUUGAGGAGCUUUGCCCAUAUUCGUGGUCUAUGCGUGGAUAAGGUUGGUGAGCAGAGGAAUAAGUCGUGCAUCGGUCCAAGUUGCUGGAGGGCAGAAACGAGGUUUGAAAAUUGCAGGGGACUGAUACAGUAGGCUUUGGAGGGGGUGCUGGUGCAGCUCUGGUUAUGGGAAAGAGUUAAUUGAUUCUGGAGAUGCGCAUAACUUGAGAGGAGAAGAGACAGCUGGAGAACAUUCUUCUACGUGGCAGAGAUGACACGCUGAAGCGGAGGAUGGGGGGAAGGUUAGAGAUACUGUGGAGAAACAUUGGAAACCUUGUGGGGAAGAGCCUUUUGAGGGCUUCUGUAUUAUCCGUAAAACCAAAGUGUUGGCUUCCUCCCUUCUGAGUCUCAUGCUCUGUUAUUACUAGAGGGCUUUCCUGAGAAGCUGGGAAGGCGGCAGGUUUGCUGUUUAAUCCCAAAAUGCCAUCAGAGGACCUCCUUUCUGUGCUUCAUUGCAGUGAACGUCAAGAAGCAGACAAACAACUGCCGGCUGUGACUGUUACUUAGGCAAAGACCCAGGCGCGUUUCCUCCUCUCAUUUCGGGCUUGAGUAUGUUCUGUGUUCAUAGACUUACGACUCCCAGGUAUCUAAAGUCAAUUCAAAAGUGAGUUUGUCAUUUGAAAUAUUUUCAUGGGAUGAAUUCGCUUUCUUAGGUCUCGCUUGCUUUCUGGAUGUUAUAAAGUAAUCACGGAAUACUCUUUUGGGGUCACUAUCCUCUUUAUUUCCAAAAUUCGUAUGAGAUAAUCCUUAAAACCUACUGACAGAGCCGGUAUAGAUGCAGUCAAGACAAUCACAGAUAGAACAUAACAUUAAAAAAAAACUAUUCUUCAACAAGCUUUUAUUAAAUGCCUACAAUAUGCAUGGCAUUUUGCUCUGUGCUGGGGCUAUCAAAGGGGAAGUGAACAAACAAACACAGCAGCAACCAUUUCCAAAUUAUAGUUUGCCUUUCACAGUUGGCAAAAGCGUGCUGAUUAGAAUGGAGCCACAUACACAAUACUUGGGACCUGCAGGCUUGGAAUACAGAUGGCAAGUGAGGGCCUUUUGCUCAGGCAUCUCUCCACGUGGGGUCAGCUGCAGGGGGAGUAACUGAAGGCAGGAGGAGAAGUGGAGAAUGGUACCUCCCCGUGUGGGGGUGGCCCAUGGUGCCCUGUGUUCCCCUUCUGUUGUUCUGGGGGUGCCUUGGAACAUCCUGCCCAUUUAAGCUUCUCUGAAAGAUUGAUGGUGGGCUCACGUUCCAUCUGGAGGUCUUGCCAUUCUUGGAUCUUUACCAUAGUUUGGAAUUUGACACAAAGAGCAGAUGGAAAUUGUGGAGAGCUCUACUUUCAGAUGGUUCACCUGCGUGCUUUUGCUUUUGUGGGGUUGUCAGGCUGAACCCACCACGUCAGUCUUUUUCAGAGAAGUUCGUGGUACUCAGCUGCCCAGGUUUGAGAGAGAGGCUUCGCACAGGAGGGCUAGAGGUGCGUUGUUAACAAUGGUUUAAUGUAAUUGGUCAUUAUCCUGGUAGUUAAAAUGUCUGACUGGUUAAGAGGCUGAGUUUCAUCGCUGACUUGCAGCUCCCUCUGUGACUCUGGGCAAGUCAUAUUUAUUCUCUGGGACUCUGUGUUGACAUCUGUAAUGUGAGGAAACCAGCCUCCAUCAAUUCUGAAGUUGAUCAAAGCAGAAAUUGUCUAAUUCUGUUAGAGACAAUUGUUUGGUAUUUCUGUUGUUUUUUGGGUUUGUUUUUCUAAGAAUAGGAUUGGUUCUGACACCAUUUCUGCAACUCCACUUCACUGUAGUUUGCUUGUAAAAUUCUUACCUCUUUGCAUUAAAGAGGGUGGCUUUAAAAGGAUGUGAGUGAGCACCCAUCCUUCCUCUUUCUACUAAGAUAUCCUAAUUAGCCCUACUGCUAAGACCAAGGCGGAUUCUUUAGCUCACCUGUAGGUAGCAUCAUAGGAGAACAGCAGCAGCAAAAUUGGGAAGAAUGAGUUGAUUAAUUUUUAUUGCUGCUUGAGCAGACACAGGAGUAAUGACAAGAUAGCAGUGACUGGCGGCCUCAGAGUUUCUGGCCACCAGUUAUGACUAUCUUGUCAUUCUUUCCCCAGCUAUAGAGAAAAUGCAACUGAGAUGAGAGUUAUGCUUCCAAGCUAGAGAUGCACGGGGUAACUUACAGCAGGUCAUAUUUCUGCAUAGAAAUAAAUGCGCAUCAAGGUGAAAUGGCAGCCACCUUCGGGAAGUGCAGGACUGGCUCGAGAUUAAAACAUGGUGUCCACUUUUGAUUUUGUCAUUGCAGUAUGUUCUGGCUGAAUUUGUCAUCAGCCACAGUGUUGGAGCCAUACCUCCCUCCUUUCAUAGGAAAAACGCAGUCUUGCUGCGAGCAUCCAAGAAGCAGUCCACAUCGAAAGAACGACCUAGACUCUGUCCCUUGCACCAUCUCCAGAGUGUGACUGCAGAACUUCUCUUAGUGUGGCAGGAGUAGAAGCAGAGAGAGAUUCCAGGUGGGCUGCUUCUGACUGGCACUUCUAUCCUAGGUUCUGACUUAAACUCCCCGUUCAUGAUUUGUUGUUUUUUAAGUGUUCCCACCAAAUCUGUCAUUUUGCUGAGUUAUAUCAAAUUUUGUAACUUGUUUCAGUGCAGUUUUUUCCCCUUCCCUCUUACUUAGAUAAACAAAUGCAGUGCUCUCAUUUUUUUCGAAAGAAGCUUCCAGAGUGUAUUGUAUUUAGAGAGAAUCAUGAAUGAUUUAUUUACAUGCAGUAUGAGAAUUUCCAGAACAGUGAUUAAAAAUGCCUUCAAAUUCUAGAUUAGAAGUAUGGGAAUUUCCUUUUGGACUAAUCUCUCUUUAAAACAGUUAUAAUUAUAAUGUGACUCACAGGAACCAGUUAAAAUUAGGUCAUUUGCAUUUAGUCUCUUCUCUUCAUGGCAGUGGAACCUUUCCAUGGGAUUGUUGAUGCUUUUGUAAAAAAAAUUUUUUUUUUUUUUUUUUUUGUUUUUUAGGGUUGCCCCCGGGGCAUGGGGGGAUUCCCAGGCUAGGGGUCUAAUUGGAGCUACAGCUGCCAGCCUACGCCAGAGCCACAGGAUCCGAGCCACGUCUGUGACCUACACCACGGCUCACAGUAAUGCUGGAUCCUUAACCCACUGAGCAAGGCCAGGGAUUGAACCCGACGCCUCAUGGCUCCUAGUUGGAUUCAUUUCCACUGUGCCACAACGGGAACACCCUGUAAAAAUGUUUUUACCUUGUCAGCAAAAUUUUAAACAUUUAUGGGUACUUAGAAAUGGUAGUUCUCCCUGAUUGAAUGGAGUUGAAGCCAUUCCUGGGAGACACACCUCCUAUCCACUGGUUAAACCUAAUUUUACCUUUAUCAUCUUCAAACUGCUCACUCAGAAUUAGGGAUGUUUAGGUGGGAAUACAGCAUAGAAUAAUCAUCAGUAAUCCUUCUCCAGGAUUCUCUGCUGAAAACAUCUGGAGCAUGACUAAUGGUUUGGGAAAUAGGCCCUGUGAGCAAAAGUUAACAGGCAUUGAGAACUAUUUCCCAUGCAGAUAAGUAAAUGGUGAUUUAAGUACAGAUUGUAAGUGCAUAGGAACGGUUGGAGGAAGGACAGGAAAUGUCAUCCGUCUCCCAAAUACUGAAGAAGAUCUUAUGUUACAGGAGAAAUGAGUGGUACGAAUAAAGUCGAAGACUUGUCGCAGUGGCUCAGAGAGACUGCAGAUUCUUUGGUGUGUUAGAAAAGGGACAGGUAACUGCCUAGGAAGUGCCAGGACCUGGGGUCCUGGACAAAAUUAUUUCUCAGAUCUGCUGAAGUUGUCUUCACUUCUCAGUGAGGGGGUUAAAUGCGCACCCGUGACCUUCAAGCUGCGUGUCCCUCGAUCCCAUCUCUCCGCACAAGUGUGACGAGGUCAGCAGGUCCUCCGGGAAGCAGACCCGAGGUACGUGGAGUUGGUUGCUGCAGAAAACAAAUUGCAGGAGUCACAGAGCUUCUCCUGAGGAUAUCAGAGGUAUUCUGACAAGAAGCAAACCACAGGAAGCCGUCUUGAACCGGAAGGCGUCACGGAUGUCCGAGAAAGGAAAGAAUGUGACCGGGGCGUCCUAAUGUAAUGGAGAGGAGUUGUGCAUAAAGAGAACUCGAGGGUUUAGAAAUCACCCUGGAAAAAGUGCAUUUUUGUUGUAAUUGGACUUCCAGUGCUGAAACCAUGGCUGAGAUGAGAGGCUGCAGUUAAAGCGGAGCGAGAGCAGUGUGUUACACACUCUUUCCAUGUAUUUUGAGAAAGUGCUAAAUACUUUGAAGGCACUUCUUUCAGUGGCAUUCUCCUUCUUUGAUUCUUUAUUUCUUAGAAGGAUGUUUUAGGAUGAUUCUUUUGGUCCACAACCACCCAUUUUCUUCCUCUCUGCUUUUGCCUGGGAUUGAAAUAAACUGAAAAAUGGAGAGCUGCCCAAGGCUGUCAGGCCCACAGUGCAUCUAGCUUUAUUUAUGUGUGCUUAGCGGGCCUAGGGACGUCUGAGCUGCUAACUGUGGUGUUAAACAUUGUUUGACACUUUGGCCCCUUAAAUCCAUGGAAAAGAGCUCCUUUUUUUAAUGUUCAUGCAAAAGAGCCCUUUGAGGCUCGUGAGGGAGGCCUGUGGUGUGCUCAUGCACAGGCUCAUCUUAUCACGAUACACCCGGUGCAGUUGUUAGAGGAAAGAGCCGUGGCAUAAAGUAAUACCGAGCUGUUGGCUGCGGGGUGACGGCCAAGUGCGCUGCAGCUUAGGAAACUGGCGGGAAGCCUUGAUCACGCCUGUCGAUUUCAGUGGUGGAGGUGUGUGACCGGUGUAUUAGGGCAUCCAUGUGAUCAUAGCAUGGGAAUGAGACAUGGAUCAUCUCUCUUCGUGUAUUGAACACACAUUAAUUUAAAUGUCUGGGCAGUUUAUUACUUUCCAAACAGCCUGAAUAUAAGUGAUGGUUCUAAUGAUGAUUUUUAUUAAUGGGGCUUUGGCCCCUAAUAUCGGAGUUGACUUUUUCCGUGAACCGCUGCCUAGGUAUUGCAUAAUCAAAGCCUUAUGUUUGCACCAGGGUAUGGUUGAUAAUUUUGUGGGAAGGGACCAGGGUGCCUCACAGUUAGCAAGAGGAAUAACCAGAAUGGAAAAAAAAGUGUUAACUAACAAUUAGGAAUGUAAGGAUACAGGCAACUAAGAGGCUGUAGAGAAAUACGCUGUUCAAAUUAGCAAGAUCUGCAGCCUAGGCGUCACCUGAGAGCUUGGUAGAAGUGCAGAGGCUGAGUUGCCUCCUCGGACUGCUUUUGCCAAUUGAAAAUCACCACCUGUCACAAGCUUCCAAGGUUGUUGGUGUGUGCUACAGACGUAAUGGUGUGUUACUCUCAAAAUUCCCAUGUCGAAGCCUAACCCAAGGUGUGUUGGUGUUGGGAGGUGAGUCCUGGAGAGGUGAUUGGGUCCCAGGGACAGAGCCUUCAGGAUUAGGCUUAAUGCCCUCAAAGCAGAGACCCCAGGGAGCUCCCUCGGCCCUUCUGCCGAGUGAGGACAUAGCAAGAAGCCCGCUGUCUAGGAACCACGUCCUGACCCGACACUGAAUCUGCGGUUGCCUUUGUCCUGGAUUUCUCAGCCUUCAGUACAGGGAGAAAUGCAUGUCUGCUAUUUAUGAGCUACCCACUCUGUGGGAUUUUGUUAUAGCAGGCCGAACUAAAUAGUGUGCACGUUCCUCCUCCAGUGGAAUAGGCCAGAAAUUGAGAUUCCAUUUAGAAUAUGCAGAGUGAUUGGAAAAGAUACAUGCACCUCUGUGUUCACUGCAGCAGUGUUCACAAUAGCCAAGACACGGAAACAACCUACACGGAAUAGUACUCACCCAUAAAAAGAACAAAAUAAUGCCAUUUACAGCAACGUGGAUGGAACUAGAGACUCUCAUACGAAGUGAAGUAAGAAAGAGAAAGACAAAUACCAUAUAUUAUCACUUAUAUCUGGAAUAUAAUACACGGCACUAAUGAACCUAUCUACAGAAAAGAAACAAAUCCAUAGACUUGGAGAACAGACUUGUGGUUGCUGAGGGGGUGGGGGAGGGAGUGGGAUGGAGUGGGAGUUUGGGGUUAGGAGAUGCAAAUUAUUGUAUUUGGAGUGGAUAAGCAAUAAGAUCCUGCAGUAUAGCACAGGGAGCUCUGUGUAGUCACUUGUGAUGGAGCCUGAUGGAGGAUAAUGUGAGAAAAAGAAUGUACGUAUGUAUGUAUAACUGGGUCACUUUGCUGUACAGUAGAAAUUGACAGAACAUUGUAAAUCAACUAUAAAAAAAAAAA
ensembl:lncRNA